UAUAUCAAAGUGAUUCGGAAGUCCCAACUACUUAUCUUUUAAAUAUUGACCCCAAUAUAUCUUGAUUCCUCAGAUAUCAAAGUUUUCGUAGUCUUAUUGAGUUCGAGAUAAUAAGGUUUGACUGUAUUUAAAAUGAAAUUCUCUCAAUUAUUAAACCAUGUUUACUGUACUAUUUAUAUUUCUGUCAUCUUUUCUAUAUUAAGAUGAUGUAUGUCCAUGACCUGUAAUUUUUUUGUUAAUGGAAUUUUUCGAAGUACUGAAUCAUAUCAAUUUAAAGUUCUUUUUUAAAAUAUUUGUAGAUGCAAUUUUUAAAGUACCAGUAGAGAUCUCCGAAGUUAAAUGUCACCUCUCUCCUUUAUUACAUGUAUAUGUAUGGCACAAACCGUGGCUUGAGACGAUGUUACAAAAGAUAGGUCAUACUUUCUGUCUUCAGUUCAUUUUCUUCAAAUGAUGAAUUACAAUGAAUUCAGUUAAUUUACACUGUGUGGUAGAUUCAUUAAAUCACUAAACAAGUUUUGAAAGACUGAGGUAUUUUAUAGAACUUCAGGGAAUUUUAAGUCUAAAUGUAUAGUGUUAAAAUCUUCUACUGACUAAGAAUUAGAUCUCAGUUCUUGGAAAGGCGACUAAAUUUUGUGAAAGCAACAUUUUUGUACUUUUUUCUGGAAAAACAGAAAAAAACCAAGACUUUAUGGAAUUUUUUUAAUUCACAUUUUUUGCAAUAGUAUAGUUAUGCAAGUGCUUAUUCAUACAUAAGUCUCUAAGGGUCUGAGAACUUGCAUUGGUACACAAAUAAUGUGUGGAAAUUCUAGGAAGGACACCUGCUUUUUAUGCAUGGUCAAGGUAUAAACAAUAUUUUGUACAUAGAAUUUUUCUAGAAGACAUGAAAACGUGAUUUUUUGGGAAAAAAAGAAAUCAGCUUUUUUGAUUUUUAUCAUACUUUAAAGUGACUGAGAAUUUUUACAGGAAAAGUUUCCCUUUAUACAGAAUUUCAAAAAAGAACAUUUGAAGUCUGUCAUAAUAUAAUGUACUGUAUGUAGAAAGAAAAAGUACACAUAGAUUUUUAUUUAUGAGAAUUAUUCAUUUACUUGUAUGAAAUUAAUAAAAUAUUUAUUUUUUCAAAAUUUUAUUAUAUAUUUGUUACAUGUGUGUAUUAGAAAAAUAAUUUGGCAUAUUUCUUUUUCAUUUACAUGUAUUUGUUAUGAACAGGUUUACUUCCUAGCUUGCUUGCUGGUUUAUAGAGUGUCAACAUUUUAUUGUUUAAAUAAAUCAGUUUUCUUUGAGUAUGAAAUGGCAAUAAAUAUAUUCAAAUUUAAACCAAAAUAAUAAAGAAUAAACAUCAAGAAUUUCUUGAACUUCUUUGUAA